rnacentral:rRNA from 1 species
GGAACGAAAACAAAAACACCUAAAAUGUGGAAUAUAGCAUAUAGUCGACAAGAGAAAUCUACGAAAAACAAACAAAACUUUCAACAACGGAUCUCUUGGUUCUCGCAUCGAUGAAGAGCGCAGCGAAAUGCGAUACCUAGUGUGAAUUGCAGCCAUCGUGAAUCAUCGAGUUCUUGAACGCACAUUGCGCCCCUCGGCAUUCCGGGGGGCAUGCCUGUUUGAGCGUCGUUUCCAUCUUGCGCGUGCGCAGAGUUGGGGGAGCGGAGCGGACGACGUGUAAAGAGCGUCGGAGCUGCGACUCGCCUGAAAGGGAGCGAAGCUGGCCGAGCGAACUAGACUUUUUUUCAGGGACGCUUGGCGGCCGAGAGCGAGUGUUGCGAGACAACAAAAAGCUCGACCUCAAAUCAGGUAGGAAUACCCGCUGAACUUAAGCAUAUC